rnacentral:tRNA from 1 species
UCCCUGGUGGCUCAGAAGGUAAAGCGUCUGCCUGCAAUACAGGAGACCCAGGUUCAACCCCUGGUUUGGGAA